rnacentral:sRNA from 1 species
GCUGGGUAUGAUGGCACAUGCCUGUGAUCCAAGCAACUCAGGAGGCUGAGGCAGGAGGACUGCAAGUCUGACAUUUUAAUGAGACCCUGCCUCAA